rnacentral:rRNA from 1 species
UAACGUGAGCGUCCUAAGGUAGCGCGAUAAUUUGCUUUUCAAUUGAAGGAUGGUAUGAAAGGGUUAACGAAGAAGGUGCUGUGUCUAAAAAUUCAAUUUAAACUAACUUUAAGGUGAAGAGGCCUUUAUGUAAAAGAAGGACGACAAGACCCUAUGAAGCUUUAUCUUAAUUGGAGCUUUCAGGCUCUUAUACGAUUUUGAUGGGAGAUCAGUAGAAAUAAGUCUUCUACUAUCAUAUUAAUCUUACUAGUAUUUCCUAACUUUAUAUGUGUGGCUAGCUACUCUAGGGAUAACAGCGCAAUUUCUCCCGAAAGAUGGUAUUGGAGGGGAAGAUUGCGACCUCGAUGUUGGCUUUAGAUAUCCUAGAGGCGUAGAAGCUUCU